UGAUGCUGAUCUGGAAUGACACGUUUUCUCCCGGAUCGCCAGAAAUAUGUUUCGCCACCGGGAACUUCGUGUCAGCCAAGAUUGGCAUCA
ensembl:miRNA dre-mir-731 microRNA 731